GGCGGGAUUUCGCCGUCUUCGUUUCUCUUUCUUCGCGGACGAACACGCGCCAGGGGCUGAGCGCUGUGCGAUGCAUCGACUUCACGUCGGGUGCGCGCCGGCAUGUCUCUCGUGUUAGGGGCUUGUAGCUCAGUUGGUUAGAGCGCGCGCUUGAUAAGCGUGAGGUCGGAAGUUCAAGUCUUCCCAGGCCCACCAUUUUGAUCGAGUGCGGAGCAUUCGUCUUCUGGUACGGGGCCAUAGCUCAGCUGGGAGAGCGCGUGCUUUGCAAGCAUGAGGUCGUCGGUUCGAUCCCGUCUGGCUCCACCAGAUGGUUUG
rnacentral:tRNA from 1 species